rnacentral:ncRNA from 3 species
UUUUGUUUAACUAUGGCAAUAGGAAAUAGUUAGUAUUUUAGCUGCAUAAAAAAAUUUUUUCUUUUUAAUUUAAGAUUUCAUCUUAGUCAUUAGCAGUUAAUUUUUUAGUAAAACUUACGUUUUUUAAGAAAAUACUAUAAAAAGGGGAUAGGACACAGUGCCAGCAUCCGCGGUUAUUCUGUUUUCUUUGUUUUCUUAUGAAUUUUAAUUAAAUAAAUAGUAUGAAGGUUUGGUGAAAUUUUCUUAGUAUAUUUUAUAGUUAUUUAGUUAAUGAAAAGAUAGUUUGGUACGACAGGGAUUAGAUACCCCAUUAGUCACUAUUUUAAUAAUAUUCUGGUUUUAUAACUAAAAUAGUUUGGCAGCGAGUUACUCCUUUCGGGGGAAGGUGCGUUAUAAAGGACGAUCCGCCAAGUAAUUAACCUUUUCUAUGUUGGUGUAUAUCUGGUUGAACAUUAUUGCUGUAAUAGCAUAAUUUGUGUAAUGAACAUUAAGCCAAGUCUAUGUGCUGCAUGUUUAGGUUAUCGUGCGUUACUUUAAUAAUAGUUAAUUUGUAAUAUUUAACAAUUUAGGACUCGAAAGUAAUAUUAAAUUAGUAUGUUAAUGUGAAAUGGGUUUAACUCGGGUACACACCGCCCGUCACCCUCGACUUUUGUUGAGGUAAGUCGUAACAUGGUAACCCCAAAUGAAUUUGGGGUUAAUUACACUUAUUU